rnacentral:rRNA from 1 species
GAUGAACGCUGGCGGCGUGCCUAAUACAUGCAAGUCGAGCGAACAGACGAGGAGCUUGCUCCUUCGACGUUAGCGGCGGACGGGUGAGUAACACGUAGGUAACCUACCUAUAAGACUGGGAUAACUUCGGGAAACCGGAGCUAAUACCGGAUAAUAUUUCGAACCGCAUGGUUCGAUAGUGAAAGAUGGCUUUGCUAUCACUUAUAGAUGGACCUGCGCCGUAUUAGCUAGUUGGUAAGGUAACGGCUUACCAAGGCGACGAUACGUAGCCGACCUGAGAGGGUGAUCGGCCACACUGGAACUGAGACACGGUCCAGACUCCUACGGGAGGCAGCAGUAGGGAAUCUUCCGCAAUGGGCGAAAGCCUGACGGAGCAACGCCGCGUGAGUGAUGAAGGUCUUCGGAUCGUAAAACUCUGUUAUUAGGGAAGAACAAACGUGUAAGUAACUGUGCACGUCUUGACGGUACCUAAUCAGAAAGCAACGGCUAACUACGUG